CGGGCGGCGGCAACCCUAGGCGAGGCGACCCGACGGAAAGCAGAGCAGGCGAGCGGCGGCGAGCGGCAGCAAAGAAGGCUGCAGACUGCAGGGGACCGCAAAGGCGCGGCACCAACGGGCCAGGACGCCAGUCGCCAGAUGACGUACUAUGUCGUCUACCACGGCAGGGUUCCUGGAGUCUACGAGGACUGGGAAGACUGUAGGAGGCAGGUCCACCGUUUCAGCGGCAACAGCUACAAGGGGUACACCACUUUGGAGGAGGCGGAAACUCGAUACGCCAACUUUCGAGCGGGACAGAGGAGGGAGAUGUGGAGGACCCGUUUCAUCGUGAUGAUGCUUGCCGCUACCGCCUCUCUAGUUUACUAUGUCAUUGUUGUUUAGCUAGGUCGUCGACUGGACUUGUAUGUAUUUGUGUAAUAUGUGCUACUUCGAGUGGUGAUGUUUGAACCAUAUGGUCGACACUUGUGUUAUUGAUGCAUGCAUGCAUGUUAUGGACAUUUCGGGACUUUCUAAUGAUGUGUAUCUUGCUAAUGAUGUAUAUCUUGCUGUCAUUAUGGUAUUUGCCUGUA